rnacentral:piRNA from 1 species
UGAUUUCAAAUGAAAUGCCAGCUCUCC